UGCCAGACUCCUACGGGAGGCAGCAGUGGGGAAUAUUGCACAAUGGGGGAAACCCUGAUGCAGCGACGCCGCGUGAGUGAAGAAGUAUUUCGGUAUGUAAAGCUCUAUCAGCAGGGAAGAAGAUGACGGUACCUGACUAAGAAGCCCCGGCUAACUACGUGCCAGCAGCCGCGGUAAUACGUAGGGGGCAAGCGUUAUCCGGAUUUACUGGGUGUAAAGGGAGCGUAGACGGCGAUGCAAGCCAGAUGUGAAAGCCCGGGGCUCAACCCCGGGACUGCAUUUGGAACUGUUAAGCUGGAGUGUCGGAGAGGCAGGCGGAAUUCCUAGUGUAGCGGUGAAAUGCGUAGAUAUUAGGAGGAACACCAGAGGCGAAGGCGAUUAACUGGACCGUAACUGACGCUGAGGCACGAAAGUGUGGGUAGCAAACAGGAUUAGAUACCCCGGUA
rnacentral:rRNA from 1 species